GGGAAAUAUGGCAAAAUGGAGGAAACUUUGAUGCAGCGACGCGGGGGGGGUGAAGAAGGUCUUCGGUCCUUAAAACUCGUUCCUUGUUGAGGAAAAAAAUGAGGUUAGCCAAGAAGGAAGCCCCGGCUAACUAGGUGCCAGCAGCCGCGGUAAUACGUAGGGGGCGAGCGUUGUCCGGAUUUACUGGGCGUAAAGGGUGAGUAGGCGGUAAUAUGUGUCAGAUGUAAAAGGCUAUGGCUUAACCUUAGUUAGCAUUUGAAACUGUAUUACUUGAGUGCAGGAGAGGUAAGUGGAAUUCCUAGUGUAGCGGUGAAAUGCGUAGAUAUUAGGAGGAACACCAGUGGCGAAGGCGACUUACUGGACUGUAACUGACGCUGAGUCACGAAAGCGUGGGUAGCAAACA
rnacentral:rRNA from 1 species